UGCUCCCUGGAGGAGGUUGGGCCAGUCCAAGUCCUUCGAGACGCCGUAUAGGCCAACGCAACGUUCGGUACGGACAUACUCAGAACAUUACUUAUUUUGCCACUUUUUGAAUUCUCGUCCCGGCCCGGAUAUCCUGUAUCCUGCACUGUGUAAUCCUACUCUACGUCUAGGACAGCCCAUCGGCCCCCCCCCCCGUCACUUUGGAGUCUCCCGAUCCGGAGGGUCAAAUGAGACAGCCCCUUUGCUCCAGAUUCCACCUCAAACCUGCCCCGGAGCCCGAGCACCUGCCGCUCCCCGCAAGUCUGUAGAGGAGACUGGGCCCUGUAGAGCAGAGUCUCCGUAUCUGUUUGCCUUUCGGAAGAGACCUGCACUUCGAAGCCGGGCAUGACUGCUUCUUGCUUGCUCAAGUCCUCACUAGAUCAUUAGCCCUAGGAGGGGAGAGACCUUGACCCAUGAACUCGCUCCUCUGACUCGCGGCACCGGCGGGAGACACGAAUCGAUGAAUGCUGAAAUCCAGUUGUAUGUGAGACCUGAGUUUGCUGUGCACCUUUAUUGGCUGAUAUCCGGUGAAAAGAGGGAGAGCCCAGGUGACAUCAGUUGCACCACAGGAUUGCAAAGCAAGAAAGGAAGAGACCUUGGGGAUUAACACCUUCCUGAGAAAGUCUAGAUGCCAGUGCUCUACUUCUGAGGAUGUUCAGUUUAGACCUCAUGAUCUCAACAAAAAUCUGAAAUUGUAGAAGCAAGUUAGGCUGAUGUAGCUUCCUUUAAAUUAUUUUAUGACACAAGUAGCCAAAGCUACUUUGGCAAGGAGGUCUUGGUAAGUUUGGGAAAGAAAGGAAAGAGAAAAAUGUUUAUCAUGGUUUUGUUACAGCUUCAGUAGAAGUCUUAUUUGAAUGCUGACAUGACUGAGAAUAUGCUGUCACCUGGUAGCAUUUUGUACUAAUGUCAGGAAAAAUUCCCAAGAGUAAAAAAGACUUCUUAGGUGUUAAAAUUGUAAGCCUUCAUUUGAGAACCCCCUGGAAGGCCUAGCCCAUUUUUUGUUACAAAGCCAAACGCAUCAGAAUCAUGUGGAGUACUUGUUAAUGCAGAUUCCUGGGUUCACCACUCCUCUGACUGAAUCAGAAUCUACCGGGUCUGGACUCCAGGAAUCUUCAUUUUAUUAUUAUUAUUUUUUUAAGAUUUUAUUUAUUUAUUUGACAGAGAGAGCGAGAGCAGGAACACAAGCAGGGGGAGUGGGAGAGGGAGCCAGGCUUCCCACUGAGCAGGGAGCCUGAUGCAGGGCUCGAUCCUAGGACCCUGGGAUCAUGACCUGAGGUGAAGGAAGCUGCCUAAUGACUGAGCCACCCAGGCGCCCCAGAAUCUUCAUUUUAAAAAAAUGUCCCACUGGUGAAUCUAGUGCAUAGUCAUAAAGUCUGGGAACACCAGUCUUGCCUCUCCCCUAUGUAAUAAUUAGUAUAUAGCAGGAGUAUAUACCUUUACAUUUUUUUUGCUCAAACAUAAAGCAUAAAGGACAGAAAGCUUAUAUUCAUUUUUAUACACAGAGGGCUGGUGGGGAGGUGUCUGAUGCUAGUCAGAAUCAUCGUUCAAUUAGCUUUAUAAUUUUGGGGGUUUUUGUUUGUUUCUUUUUGUUUGGGCAAGGCCAGGAAUACUUGCUCUACUGUGAUCUAAUGAAAUAAAAAAAAAAUUUAAAGAUUUUA